AUUGAACGCUGGCGGCAGGCUUAACACAUGCAAGUCGAGCGGGGGAAGGUAGCUAGCUACCGGACCUAGCGGCGGACGGGUGAGUAAUGCUUAGGAAUCUGCCUAUUAGUGGGGGACAACAUCUCGAAAGGGAUGCUAAUACCGCAUACGUCCUACGGGAGAAAGCAGGGGAUCUUCGGACCUUGCGCUAAUAGAUGAGCCUAAGUCGGAUUAGCUAGUUGGUGGGGUAAAGGCCUACCAAGGCGACGAUCUGUAGAGGGUCUGAGAGGAUGAUCCGCCACACUGGGACUGAGACACGGCCCAGACUCCUACGGGAGGCAGCAGUGGGGAAUAUUGGACAAUGGGGGGAACCCUGAUCCAGCCAUGCCGCGUGUGUGAAGAAGGCCUUAUGGUUGUAAAGCACUUUAAGCGAGGAGGAGGCUACUCUAGUUAAUACCUAGGGAUAGUGGACGUUACUCGCAGAAUAAGCACCGGCUAACUCUGUGCCAGCCGCCGCCGUAACAC
rnacentral:rRNA from 1 species